CCCUUAGAUGUUCUGGGCUGCACGCGCGCUACACUGAAGCUAUCAACACGUUUUCCCUCCCUGAGAAGGGCGGGUAACCUUCUGAAUCAGCUUCGUGGUAGGGAUCGGGGCUUGCAAUUGUUCCCCGUGAACCAGGAAUUCCUAGUAGACGCGAGUCAUAAGCUCGCAUCGAUUAAGUCCCUGCCCUUUGUACACACCGCCCGUCGCUACUACCGAUUGAACGUUUUAGUGAGGCAUUUGGACCGACGCAUCUCAGUUUAACCGCUGGUUUGUGUUGGAAAGACUUCCAAACUUGAGCGUUUGGAGGAAGUAAAAGUCGUAACA
rnacentral:rRNA from 1 species